UACAGAGGUCUCGAGCGUUAGGCGGAAUCACUGGGCUUAAAGCGUGUGUAGGCGGAUCGUUAAGUACCUUGUGAAAUCCCACGGCUUAACCGUGGAGCUGCUUGGUAUACUGGCGGUCUUGAGCCAGCUAGGGGCUACCGGAACAAAUGGUGGAGCGGUGAAAUGCGUAGAUAUCAUUUGGAACGCCAAUGGUGAAAACAGGUAGCUGGGGCUGUGCUGACGGCUGAGACACGGAAAGCCAGGGGAGCAAACGGG
rnacentral:rRNA from 1 species